rnacentral:rRNA from 1 species
CCUACGGGGGGCAGCAGUGGGGAAUAUUGGACAAUGGGGGGAACCCUGAUCCAGCCAUGCCGCGUGUGUGAAGAAGGCCCUCGGGUUGUAAAGCACUUUCAGUGAGGAAGAACGCCUGGUGGUUAAUACCCAUCAGGAAAGACAUCACUCACAGAAGAAGCACCGGCUAACUCCGUGCCAGCAGCCGCGGUAAUACGGAGGGUGCGAGCGUUAAUCGGAAUUACUGGGCGUAAAGCGCGCGUAGGUGGCUUGAUAAGCCGGUUGUGAAAGCCCCGGGCUCAACCUGAGAACGGCAUCCGGAACUGUCAAGCUAGAGUGCAGGAGAGGAAGGUAGAAUUCCCGGUGUAGCGGUGAAAUGCGUAGAGAUCGGGAGGAAUACCAGUGGCGAAGGCGGCCUUCUGGACUGACACUGACACUGAGGUGCGAAAGCGUGGGUAGCAAACAGGAUUAGAUACCCUGGUAGUC